rnacentral:rRNA from 1 species
UACGUAGGUGGCAAGCGUUAUCCGGAAUUAUUGGGCGUAAAGCGCGCGCAGGCGGUUUCGUAAGUCUGAUGUGAAAGCCCACGGCUCAACCGUGGAGGGUCAUUGGAAACUGGGGAACUUGAGUGCAGAAGAGAAAAGCGGAAUUCCACGUGUAGCGGUGAAAUGCGUAGAGAUGGGGAGGAACACCAGUGGCGAAGGCGGCUUUUUGGUCUGUAACUGACGCUGAGGCGCGAAAGCGUGGGGAGCAAACAGG